rnacentral:rRNA from 1 species
UACGUAGGGGGCGAGCGUUGUCCGGAUUUAUUGGGCGUAAAGAGCUCGUAGGCGGCUUAGCAAGUCGGGUGUGAAAACUCCAGGCUCAACCUGGAGACGCCACUCGAGACUGCUAUGGCUAGAGUCCGGUAGGGGACCACGGAAUUCCUGGUGUAGCGGUGAAAUGCGCAGAUAUCAGGAGGAACACCGGUGGCGAAGGCGGUGGUCUGGGCCGGCACUGACGCUGAGGUGCGAAAGCGUGGGGAGCAAACAGG